CAGCAAUUGGAACAUAAGCAUGUGGAAAAAAAAUACAAUGAAAGUGAGACACAUAAUAAGAUCUAUAUACAAUCCAUAUGAAAACACUUCAAAUGCUCUCCAAAUAUCCUAGAAAUUGUAGGCAUCAGAUUAGAUUUGGUUUUCUAAUAUGUAAUUCAUAGUAGCUUUGAAUAAUUUUGAUUCUUUUUCCGAACUCUUUCUUCAUGAAGAGAGAUUCUUUUUCGAUUUUCUGUUAGGUUCUUCGUUUUCAGUAUGCAGUGAUUUUAUUAGGGUUUGCAAUUGUGCUCCUGAUUUUUCACUGGGGUUUGCGUGUUUUAAAUCUGAGUUUUGUAAUUUUCCAUUGAUUUUAAUACUUAAUUUUCUAUAAUGUACACUGAACUAUUGAGCUAUUAAUACUCAUACACACUUAAUUUAGGGUAGGGUUUAGGGAGGGGAAUGAUUUGUGGGAGUGAUUGCUGAUUGGAAUAUGGGUCAAAUUGAAAAGCUAGAUUUGUGGUCAUGGAGCUGUCUUUUCGCUUUCAUGAUGGCAAUGUGAGGUGAUCCAAUAGCUUCAACAGAUUACCACAUGCUCCAAAUAUGGAGAUUUACUCUAUGUAUGGGGUCGGGAUUCUAACGUAAAGAGCCUAUGUUUAUAAGUCAACCUCCCAAUCAGAAUGCUACAUUCCGUUUCAGAUUGACACAUCAGCAAUUGGUGGAGAUGAGGACCCUUUUUUAAAGGAUGGAGUUUAUAGUGCCAACGGGGAUGAAACUGUUCCUGUUUUAAGCGCUGAUUUCAUUUUUGCAAGAGGUUGGCGGGGAAAAACCCGCUUUAAUCCUUCAGGCAUCCAAACGUUCAUAAGGGAGUAUGAAGACGCUGCUCCGGCUAAUCUUCUCGAAGGAAGGAGAACCUAGAGUGGUGCUCAUGUUGAUAUAUUGGAAAACUUUGCACUUAUUGAAGAUAUUAUACGAGUAGCAGCAGGAGCCACUGGUGAGGACUUAGGUGGACAUAGAGUUCACUCAGAUUUUCAAAGGGUCUCAAAAUAUUAACUCUCAGUGCAAUAAAUGUUUCGGCUAGCAGCUGUUCCUUUGUUAAAUUAUUUUUUACUUUUUGGAUUAUAAAUACUCAUUGUUACCUUAGUUUAACAUGAGUAUUACCCAUGAGGUUAUAAAGAA